AUUAAACUGAAGAGUUUGAUCCUGGCUCAGAUUGAACGCUGGCGGCAUGCUUUACACAUGCAAGUCGAACGGCAGCACGGGGGCAACCCUGGUGGCGAGUGGCGAACGGGUGAGGAAUACAUCGGAACGUGUCUUUAAGUGGGGGAUAACGCAUCGAAAGAUGUGCUAAUACCGCAUAAUCUCUGAGGAGAAAAGCAGGGGAUCGUAAGACCUUGCGCUUUUGGAGCGGCCGAUGCCUGAUUAGCUAGUUGGUGAGGUAAAAGCUUACCAAGGCUUCGAUCAGUAGCUGGUCUGAGAGGACGACCAGCCACACUGGGACUGAGACACGGCCCAGACUCCUACGGGAGGCAGCAGUGGGGAAUUUUGGACAAUGGGGGAAACCCUGAUCCAGCCAUGCCGCGUGAGUGAAGAAGGCCUUCGGGUUGUAAAGCUCUUUCAGAUGCGAAGAUGAUGACGGUAACAUCAGAAGAAGCCCCGGCUAAUUUCGUGCCAGCAGCCGCGGUAAUACGAAAGGGGCUAGCGUUGUUCGGAUUUACUGGGCGUAAAGGGCACGCAGGCGGUCUUGCCAGUCAGGGGUGAAAGCCCGGGGCUCAACCCCGGAACUGCCUCUGAUACUGCAAGACUAGAGACUAGGAGAGGGUGGUGGAAUUCCCAGUGUAGAGGUGAAAUUCGUAGAU
rnacentral:rRNA from 1 species